GAGCUCACUUUGGUAGCACAUACACUAAAACUGUACAGAGAAGAUUAAUGUGGCCCCCGUACAAGGAUGACAUGCGAAUUGGUGAGGCAUUCCAUAUUUUC
rnacentral:snRNA from 1 species